rnacentral:rRNA from 1 species
CGAAAGUGGGGGGAUAACCUGGGGAAACCCAGGCUAAUACCGCAUACGUCCUACGGGAGAAAGCGGGGGCUCUUCGGACCUCGCGCUAUCGGAUGAGCCUAUGUCGGAUUAGCUAGUUGGUGAGGUAACGGCUCACCAAGGCGACGAUCCGUAGCUGGUCUGAGAGGAUGAUCAGCCACACCGGGACUGAGACACGGCCCGGACUCCUACGGGAGGCAGCAGUGGGGAAUAUUGGACAAUGGGCGCAAGCCUGAUCCAGCCAUGCCGCGUGUGUGAAGAAGGCUUUCGGGUUGUAAAGCACUUUCAGUGGGGAAGAAGGCCUGGCGGUCAAUACCCGCCAGGGACGACAUCACCCACAGAAGAAGCACCGGCUAACUCCGUGCCAGCAGCCGCGGUAAUACGGAGGGUGCGAGCGUUAAUCGGAAUUACUGGGCGUAAAGCGCGCGUAGG